rnacentral:rRNA from 1 species
AGAGUUUGAUCCUGGCUCAGAUUGAACGCUGGCGGCAGGCCUAACACAUGCAAGUCGAGCGGAUGAAGAGAGCUUGCUCUCCGAUUCAGCGGCGGACGGGUGAGUAAUGCCUAGGAAUCUGCCUGGUAGUGGGGGACAUCGUUUCGAAAGGAACGCUAAUACCGCAUACGUCCUACGGGAGAAAGCAGGGGACCUUCGGGCCUUGCGCUAUCAGAUGAGCCUAGAUCGGAUUAGCUAGUUGGUGAGGUAAAGGCUCACCAAGGCGACGAUCCGUAACUGGUCUGAGAGGAUGAUCAGUCACACUGGAACUGAGACACGGUCCAGACUCCUACGGGAGGCAGCAGUGGGGAAUAUUGGACAAUGGGCGAAAGCCUGAUCCAGUCAUGCCGCGUGUGUGAAGAAGGUCUUCGGAUUGUAAAGCACUUUAAGUUGGGAGGAAGGGCAGUAAGCUAAUACCUUGCUGUUUUGACGUUACCGACAGAAUAAGCACCGGCUAACUUCGUGCCAGCAGCCGCGGUAAUACGAAGGGUGCAAGCGUUAAUCGGAAUUACUGGGCGUAAAGCGCGCGUAGGUGGUUCGUUAAGUUGGAUGUGAAAGCCCCGGGCUCAACCUGGGAACUGCAUCCAAAACUGGCGAGCUAGAGUAUGGCAAAGGGUGGUGGAAUUUCCUGUGUAGCGGUGAAAUGCGUAGAUAUAGGAAGGAACACCAGUGGCGAAGGCGACCACCUGGGCUAAUACUGACACUGAGGUGCGAAAGCGUGGGGAGCAAACAGGAUUAGAUACCCUGGUAGUCCACGCCGUAAACGAUGUCGACUAGCCGUUGGGAUCCUUGAGAUCUUAGUGGCGCAGCUAACGCAUUAAGUCGACCGCCUGGGGAGUACGGCCGCAAGGUUAAAGCUCAAAUGAAUUGACGGGGGCCCGCACAAGCGGUGGAGCAUGUGGUUUAAUUCGGAGCAACGCGAAG